UAGGGAAUCUUCGGCAAUGGACGGAAGUCUGACCGAGCAACGCCGCGUGAGUGAAGAGGGUUUUCGGAUCGUAAAGCUCUGUUGUAAGAGAAGAACGAGUGUGAGAGUGGAAAGUUCACACUGUGACGGUAUCUUACCAGAAAGGGACGGCUAACUACGUGCCAGCAGCCGCGGUAAUACGUAGGUCCCGAGCGUUGUCCGGAUUUAUUGGGCGUAAAGCGAGCGCAGGCGGUUAGAUAAGUCUGAAGUUAAAGGCUGUGGCUUAACCAUAGUACGCUUUGGAAACUGUUUAACUUGAGUGCAAGAGGGGAGAGUGGAAUUCCAUGUGUAGCGGUGAAAUGCGUAGAUAUAUGGAGGAACACCGGUGGCGAAAGCGGCUCUCUGGCUUGUAACUGACGCUGAGGCUCGAAAGCGUGGGGAGCAAACAGGAUUAGAUACCCUGGUAGUCCACGCCGUAAACGAUGAGUGCUAGGUGUUAGACCCUUUCCGGGGUUUAGUGCCGCAGCUAACGCAUUAAGCACUCCGCCUGGGGAGUACGACCGCAAGGUUG
rnacentral:rRNA from 1 species